AUGUUUUUCACCCAUUUUGUGUUUACCCUCUCUUACAGACCAGGCUCCCAGAACGUUAAGGCAGACGCACUGUCCCGGCUGUAUGACACAGAGGAGCGGCCCAUGGAUCCCACUCCCAUACUCCCCGCCUCUUGUUUGUUGGCGCCAGUAGUGUGGGAGCUGGACGCGGACAUUGAGCGGGCGUCACGUGCAGAGACCGCUCCCCCUCAGUGUCCAACUGGGCGUCUGUACGUUUCGUCUGUUGUCCGCGACCAGCUGAUCUAUUGGGUCCACACGUCACCCUCCUCUGGUCAUCCUGGGAUUGGUCAGAUGGUGCACAGUCUUAGUGGGAAGUACUGGUGGCCCACUUUAGCUAAGGAUGUGAGGGUUUAUGUUUCCUCCUGCUCAGUGUGCGCCCAGUGCAAGGCUCCUAGACACCUGCCCAGAGGUAAGUUACAACCCUUACCCUUUCCACAACGGCCGGGGUCGCACCUGUCGGUGGAUUUCCUAACCGAUCUUCCACCUUCACAGGGUAACACCACGAUCCUGGUCGUUGUGGAUCGUUUUUCUAAGUCCUGUCGUCUCCUCCCUUUGCCCGGUCUCCCUACGGCUCUACAAACUGCGGAGGCCCUGUUUACACACGUCUUCCGGCAUUACGGGGUGCCUGAGGAUAUAGUGUCUGAUCGGGGUCCCCAGUUCACGUCAAGGGUCUGGAAGGUGUUCAUGGAACGUCUGAGGGUCUUGGUCAGCCUUAUCUCAGGUUUUCCCCCGAGAGUAACGGGCAGGUGGAGAGAGUUAACCAGGAUGUGGGUAGGUUUGAGGUCUUAUUGCCAGGACCGGCCGGGGGAGUGGACAGCGUUCGUGCCCUGGGCAGAGAUGGCCCAGAACUCACUCCGCCACUCCUCCACUCCUCCACUAACAUUUCUCCCUUUCAGUGUGUAUUGGGGUAUCAGCCGGUUCUGGCUCCUUGGCAUCAGAGUCAGACCGAGGCUCCUGCGGUGGAUGACUGGUUCUGGCGUGCGGAGGAAACAUGGGACGCCGCCCACGUCCACCUUCAGCGCGCUGUACUGCGCCAGAAAGUUGGCGCAGACCGUCACUGCAGUGAGGCCCCGGUGUUCGCACCGGGGGACAGGGUCUGGCUCUCGAACCGAAACCUGCCCCUCUGCCUGCCCUGCCCGGAAGCUGGGUCCGCGGUUUGUGGGGCCGUUUAAAGUCCUGAGGAGCGUGAACGAGGUAUGUUAUAGGUUCCCCCCGAUUACCGCAUUAACCCCUCAUUCCAUGUGUCUCUCCUCAGGCCGGUGGUGGCUGGCCCGCUCCAGGAGGCUGAGGUGCGGGAGGUUCCUCCUGAGGGGGCCUCGAUCGACAUCGAGGGGGCCCCGGCAUACUCUGUUUGAUCCAUCCUGGAUUCAAGACGUCGGGCGAGGGACCUUCAGUACCUCGUGGACAGGGAGGGGUACGGUCCGGAGGAGAUAUGCUGGGUUCCACUGGAGGACGUGUUAG
rnacentral:lncRNA from 8 species